GCGCUGAUCCAAUUAAUUAAAAUAAAUCACAUAUUCUACCAUGUUCUACGAUCUUCUGCCCUUUGCCUUCCUUCAUCCGAUCAGUAGUCUACAAUGUUCUCCCCUUUGACAUCCUUCAUCCGAUCAGUUUUCUACUGGUUUUGUUUGCGAUUUCUAUGAAAGAACAAGUUUUUCGCUACUUGAUUUUGAUCAAUAUCUGAAUGAUUAUUACAGAGAUAGUUUGAUGAUUAAUAUCUGGUGGAUUGAUCGGUUUGGUUUUGAUUUAAAGUCGUGUUGCUCGAUUAUUGAUGUUUUCAGCUUUUCUUCAUUGGUUUCUCUGUUUGUUCUCAGUUUUUGAAUCUGGGAGUUCUGCUGAUUUCUUCAUUUGGUUUUACCCAACUCUUGGUGAUGGGAUUUUGAUAUAGAUUUGUUUUCCGCAGGUUGCAUCUUCCUCCAACUUUUUGGGUUGCGCCUGUCAAUUACUAAUGCUUUUGUUAUAUCGGUUUCACGUAAGGAGGUGUUUCCUUUGAUAAUGUCAACACUCUAGAGUAGAAAUACUCUUAGUUGUGAACAAUAUGCACCUUAGUUGCUCUUCCUCAAUGUAGCUUCGAGCUUACUCUCUUAGUCAUCUGCUAGAAUUUGUUACAACAAGAAGCUCCGAUUUGGUUGAGGAUGCUGCGAUUGGCUGGUGUUCUUGCUGGGUAUUCUAACGUACAGGUUUGUUCCUCUUUUAAUUGUUGGCAAGAAGCCAUCUCCGAUCGCCAUUGAUGAAAUUGAUGAAGCUAAGAAGCCGAGAAAGAGGUGAUGAAGUGCGGACUAGACGAGGCUUCAUUAUUGCUUUGUUCAAAUGGAUAUAAUCGAACAAUGGGCUGAUGCAUUUGUUAUGGACUCUACUAUUUAUUUUGGGCCAAUGAUUCAACACAACCCAAAAUUCUGAUCUCAGCCCAAUUUCCAUGACAUCAGCCCAACACCAAACAAUACCUGAAAAUGUCAUUUUCAGCAUUGUACAAGGAAUAUUCUAGGAUGUGUAUGUGUACAAAAAGUUUGUUACACAAAAUAUGUAAUUGCAUUUUAGUCCAUAGAUAGUUUAGAUAUUACUAGUUUUCUAUUUGCUAUUUCUUGUAGAAGAAUCCUCAGCUACUUGUAUAUAUAUGAGGCAUUGAUCAAUAAAAUAUACACACAGAAAAAUUCUCAAAAUCUCAUA